rnacentral:sRNA from 1 species
CCUCUUACAAACAUCAAGGAUCUGUGCCUAGCGGUCCUCUGCUUCUCCGGAAGUCAGGGUUGAUUGCUUUGCAGCUCGAUAACGACAUGGAGCCAUCCACUUGCUAUGGUGUCAAUCAUCCUAUCGACAGGUCCAAGACUGAUCUGGUCUUUUGCUGCCUCGUUCGUCGUCGUCAGACGGCUUGAGCUUUGCGGCAUCUGCAUCAAAGGCGCUAUAUUCCAAACCCCUUUUCCGAGACCGUCGGUCCGUGAGGUUGGGGAAAACCAUGGCAUGCCUACAUUU